AUGCCUCCAUCGCUCUCCUCCCUCCGCUCCUUCUUCACGAGCACGCUGGGCCUGGGCUCGGGCGGCGCGGAGCACAGCGGGGAUGAGGAGUCGCAGGCCGGCGGCGGGCCCGUGCCGUCGGGUGGCAGCCGGCCGGUGGCGGGGCCUCCGGGGGAGUGCUACGCGUGCACGCAGCCCGGGGUGCCGGCGUUCCACUCCACGACGUGCGACCAGGUGCACUCGCCGGGCUGGGACGCCGACGCCGGCUCCUCGCUAGUGCCCGUGCAGGCGCAUCAGCUGCGUGCCCAGCCGCUCCCGGGGGCGGCCGCCGUCGCCGCCGCGCGGUGGCUGUUCGGGCCGGUGCUGGACCCGCGGAGCAAGCGCGUGCAGCGCUGGAACCGCUGGAUCCUGCUGGGCCGCGCCGCGGCCCUGGCUUUGGACCCUCUCUUCUUCUACGCGCUCUCCAUCGGCCGCGCGGGGCGGCCCUGCAUGUACAUGGACGCCGGGCUCGCCGCCGCCGUCACCGCGCUGCGCACCUGCGCCGACGUGGCCCACCUCGCCCACGUCCUCGUCCAGUUCCGCCUCGCCUACGUCUCCCGCGAGUCGCUCGUCGUCGGCUGCGGCAAGCUGGUCUGGGACCCGCGCGCCAUCGCCGCGCACUACGCCCGCUCCCUCAAGGGCCUCUGGUUCGACCUCUUCGUCAUCCUCCCCAUCCCCCAGAUCAUCUUCUGGCUGGUUAUACCAAAGUUAAUCAGAGAAGAGCAAGUUAAAGUUAUCAUGACGAUUCUUCUGCUCAUAUUCGUAUUGCAAUUUCUGCCCAAGGUGUACCAUAGUAUAUAUAUCAUGAGGAAAAUGCAGAAGGUGACAGGUUACAUCUUUGGAACAGUAUGGUGGGGAUUUGGUCUGAAUCUAUUUGCCUAUUUCAUUGCUUCUCAUAUUGCAGGUGGAUGUUGGUAUGUUCUUGCGAUUCAGCGCGUUGCGUCCUGCCUACAAUCGGAAUGCGAGAUAAAAAACAACUGCAAUUUGAUGUCACUGGCUUGCUCUAAGGAGAUGUGCUUUCACUUUCCUUGGUCAUCAGACAUGACCGCAUUGGCAUGCGAUACGAACUUAACUUCUUUCAGUCAACAAAAUGUGCCGGACUGUCUAAGUGGCAAUGGCGCCUUUGCUUAUGGGAUCUACAAGGGAGCCCUUCCUGUUAUCUCCAGCAAUUCACUUGCUGUCAAAAUUCUCUAUCCCAUAUUCUGGGGCCUCAUGACCCUCAGUACUUUUGGCAAUGAUCUUGAGCCGACGAGCAAUUGGCUUGAGGUGAUAUUCAGCAUCAUCAAUGUACUCAGUGGGCUGAUGCUCUUCACGCUACUGAUCGGAAACAUACAGGUAUUCUUGCACGCCGUGCUGGCGAGGAAGCGGAAGAUGCAGCUGCGGUUCCGGGACAUGGAGUGGUGGAUGAGGCGGCGGCAGCUGCCGUCCCGGCUGCGGCAGCGGGUCCGCAAGUACGAGCGCGAGCGGUGGGCGGCCAUCACCGGCGACGAGGAGAUGGAGAUGAUCAAGGACCUGCCGGAGGGCCUGCGGCGGGACAUCAAGCGGUACCUCUGCCUGGAGCUGGUGAAGCAGGUGCCGCUGUUCCACGGCAUGGACGAGCUGAUCCUGGACAACAUAUGCGACCGGCUCCGGCCGCUGGUGUUCUGCGGCGGCGAGAAGGUGAUCCGGGAGGGCGACCCGGUGCAGCGCAUGGUGUUCAUCCUGCAGGGGCGGCUGCGGAGCACGCAGCCGCUGACCAAGGGCGUGGUGGCGGAGUGCGUGCUGGGGGCCGGGAGCUUCCUGGGCGACGAGCUGCUGUCGUGGUGCCUGCGCCGGCCGUUCGUGGACCGGCUGCCGGCGUCGUCGGCCACGUUCGAGUGCGUGGAGGCGGCGCAGGCCUUCUGCCUCGACGCGCCGGACCUGCGGUACAUCACGGAGCACUUCCGGUACAAGUUCGCCAACGACAAGCUCAAGCGCACGGCGCGCUACUACUCGUCCAACUGGCGGACGUGGGCGGCCGUCAACGUGCAGCUCGCGUGGCGGCGGUACAGGGCGAGGGUGAUGGCGACGGCGGUGCUCCCGCCGCCGCCGGCCGGCGCGGCGGGGCCCGAGGACGGGGACCGCCGGCUGCGCCAUUACGCGGCCAUGUUCAUGUCGCUCAGGCCGCACGACCACCUCGAGUAG
rnacentral:rRNA from 1 species